UGAGAGUUUGAUCCUGGCUCAGAGCGAACGCUGGCGGCAGGCCUAACACAUGCAAGUCGAACGGAUCCUUCGGGAUUAGUGGCGGACGGGUGAGUAACACGUGGGAACGUGCCCUUUGGUUCGGAACAACUCAGGGAAACUUGAGCUAAUACCGGAUGUGCCCUUCGGGGGAAAGAUUUAUCGCCAUUGCACCGGCCCGCGUCUGAUUAUCUAGUUGGUGGGGUAAAGGCCCCCCAAGGCGACGAUCAGUAGCUGGUCUGACAGGAUGAUCAGCCACAUUGGGACUGAGACACGGCCCAAACUCCUACGGGAGGCAGCAGUGGGGAAUCUUGCCCAAUGGGCGAAAGCCUGACGCAGCCAUGCCGCGUGAAUGAUGAAGGUCUUAGGAUUGUAAAAUUCUUUCACCGGGGACGAUAAUGACGGUACCCGGAGAAGAAGCCCCGGCUAACUUCGUGCCAGCAGCCGCGGUAAUACGAAGGGGGCUAGCGUUGCUCGGAAUUACUGGGCGUAAAGGGAGCGUACGCGGACUGUUAAGUUAGAGGUGAAAGCCCAGGGCUCAACCUUGGAAUGCCUUUGAUACUGGCAGUCUUGAGUACGGAAGAGGUAUGUGGAACUCCGAGUGUAAAGUGAAAUUCGUAAUAUUCGGAAAACACCAAUGGCAAAAGCAAAUACUGGUCCUUUCUGACCUGAAGCUCAAAGCGUGGGGAGCAACAGGAUUAAUACCCUGGUAUCACCCAAAAAUAAUGGAAAUUGUCGCC
rnacentral:rRNA from 1 species